rnacentral:lncRNA from 7 species
AAUUCCUAGCUCUGUGACUCCUCUCAGUCCCUUGGUGUCUUUUUCAGCCAUUCCUUCUUGUUUCUAUAAAAAAAUAAACCAUUCCUUUUAUAUUUAGAAAUACCAAACAAGAAAACCACCCCCUUAUUUCCUUAAGAGAGAACUAAAUUUAAAGAUGUUAUUUUUGUCAUACCACUGAAAUAGCUUUUCCAUAAAUACAAAGGCCAUAAUGAGGCUUUGAAAGCCCAAGAAGAGGAACUUGGGAUCAGCAGCUUCUGUGGGACAUUCUCUGAGAUUGGGGGACUGCUUGUACUAAGCUUUAUAGUGGACCUUCACGUUCUGAGUUUCUGAAAUGUUGGUGAUGUCUGAGAAAGGGAAGAUAAAUCAUGCUGCCACUGCUCUCUGCACACCCACCUCUGCAAAGUAUCUAUUGCAGCUCUACAUUCUGCAAAUAGAGUCACUAAAGAGAAGGAACAAACUAGACAUUAAAAAGCAGGAUCCUUACCAACAAACAAGGAAGAAAUCGAGUUUUGGAUCUCAGACAUCAUCCUGAGAAACACUGUUUACACACAUUAAAGGAAGAGGGAGACAAACAAAAUAAUGAAAAUAUUUGUUUUUGCCAGUCCUACUUAGCCAAGAAAGAAGCAGAAACGGAUCACAGCCAGAACACGCUGUACCCAGUGCUUGCUGGCUGAUGAUCGCCUUCUAUAAAAUUAACCCAUCUGACCUAAUGCUCCACCUCAGCCCUACAACAUCUGCUGGCAAGCAGAGGAGCUCCCUAUGUAAAGACAAUUAACUCCAUGGCAGAGCAAGGCAAGCAGGCAGAAAGAAAAGGCAGGAGUCCCUGUUGUCUCUGUGGGGCACUGGGAGUGGCAGUACCACUGGCACAGACCCUGGGCACAGCUGACCCCGCUUCACUCCCCGCAUAGCAAGCGCCCCAAACCAGUCAUGCAUCAAAACAGGCAGAAGGAAACAAGAGAAAAAAUGGUGAGCGAAGGUAAACCAAGGCCUUUUGUCUAAACUUUCACAGUACCCACUUAUCUAGGGCACAGUUUCAAGCUGAUGUCAGUGUCAUCCUUUUCACCAGAAAGUCUGACUUGUGUCAUGCUAUUCCAGAAUUAUGUCUCUUUUAGCUUCGGCACAGUGUGCCUGAAGUAAAACUGCAGAGUGCUCUGUUUGUUAUGUGCCUUUUCCCAAGACUACAUCAGACCUCCAAUAUGUGCAAUAACAUCAGGAAAUACACAUUUUGAUGAUUUGCCUUUGCUUGAAAAUACUCUCACAGCUACAGCACACAGAGGAAGAAGGAGGUGGUGAUGAUUCAAUGAGAGGCCAAAGAGUAAGAGAAGAAAAUCUCUUGGGGAAGAAAGGAACUAAUGAACAAAAGUUGGGAACAGAAAGAAGACUGUUAUGCCACAAAUAUAAAAUGUAUAGUCACAUAAGCUCAUAGGAAAGAAAAUGAAAGCUGACGUCCUACAAUGCUAGAUUGAUUAGGGAGGGCUUGGAACAUGACCAAGGUCUGGUAAUGGCAUGGGAAAUCAUUUCAAAGGAGAAAGAACCUCACACUCUGCUACGGGGGACUGCAGCAGUACAAUAACACACGGAGAGGAUGUUGGAGAGCUGCCAUGGAGUCUGUGCAGGGAGGAAGCAAAACCAGAUGACAAUGUGUGUGGUUAUAAUGGAUACCUGCACGGGCUGUGAAGGACUUGUACUGUCAGCAACCUGACAGGUGCUGGAUCUGAGUGCACAAGGGCUGGCCUCCCAUUUGCUGUUCUGCCCCAUUUGCUCAGAUACCUCCCAGCAACUUCCUGUAGGGCCAAAAAAUGACAGCAUAACAGUGCAAUAGGUAUUACCAGAAUCCUGAAUAUUUUCUUCUCUUUAUUUUUUGUUCAUUUUCUCUGUCUAGCCAAGGGCCGAGUUUAUAAUUUCUUUGAUAUUACAGUUGCAACAAAAAUAAAUAUCCCUUAAU